UACGAAGGGGGCUAGCGUUGCUCGGAAUGACUGGGCGUAAAGGGCGCGUAGGCGGCUAGGCAAGUCAGGUGUGAAAGCCCCGAGCUUAACUCGGGAACUGCACCUGAAACUGCUGGGCUUGAGUUCUGGAGGGGGUAGUGGAAUUCCCAGUGUAGCGGUGAAAUGCGUAGAUAUUGGGAGGAACACCUGCGGCGAAGGCGGCUACCUGGACCGGUACUGACGCUGAGGCGCGAAAGCGUGGGGAGCAAACAGG
rnacentral:rRNA from 1 species